UACAGAGGGUGCGAGCGUUGUUCGGAAUUAUUGGGCGUAAAGGGCGCGUAGGCGGUGGCCACAAGUCACUUGUGAAAUCCCCAGGCUUAACCUGGGGCCUGCAGGCGAAACUGUGGUGCUGGAGUGUGGGAGAGGUGCGUUGGAAUCCGGUGUAGCGGUGAAAUGCGUAGAUAAUCGGGAGGAACACCUGUGGCGAAAGCGGCGCACUGGACCAUAACUGACGCUGAGGCGCGAAAGCUAGGGAGCA
rnacentral:rRNA from 1 species